rnacentral:lncRNA from 1 species
GGGCCUCGAGGGCUCGAAUACACAAGAGUCAGCAGAAGCAACAAUAUCUGGGUACAUACAAGAGUUAGACAAGUUUGCCUUAAGAAGGCUAUCACAAAAGCAACAUCGAUCGAAAAGGCAAGGCCUCCAGCCUGGGAGCCUCCUAACUACUCCUAGUCGUCUGCGGCCUCCACGUAGUAGUAAGCAUCGGCGGUGGCAUCUGGCUCCUGGGCUCUGACAUCUGGUUGCAUCAACCGGAAAGAAGGAGAAAGGGGGGAAAAGGGGGAGCAAAGCAACCAUGAGUACUCAUCCAAAGUACUCGCGAGCAAGGAUCUACACUACAUAUGCAUCGGUAUCAAUGAAAUGGGUUGUAUAUGUGGACUGAACUGUAGAAUGCCAGAAGAGAAGGGGAAAGCCUAGCCUAUCGAAGACUAGCAUCUUCAAGCAGCUCCAAGCAUCUUGCAGCAUCAAAAGAGGUAAGAGUAGCAUAAAGUAAAGUAGUAGUUGUGUUAUCAACCUCGGCCAGAGAUCCUUUCUUGGCUCCCUGCGAGAAAGCAAUCCCGGAGCCAUACUAUCCAAUUGUCAUCACAAUCCAAUUCUCAUCACAAGUAUCCAGUUCUAGUUGUAUCGAUCGGGAUACAACUCCAAGUGUCCAUUACCGUGGGACAGGCUAUCAAUAGAUGUUUUCUUCCCUGCAGGGGUGCACCAACUUACCCACCACGCUCAAUUAACUCCGGCCGGACACACUUUCCUGGGUCAUGCCUGGCCUCGGCCAAACAAUACGCCGCAACCCGACCUAGGCUUAAUAGAGAGGUCAGCACGUCGGACUAAACCUAUGCCCCCAGGGGUCAUGGGCCAUCUCCCCGGGAACUCGUGCACGUUGCGUACGCGGCCGGUGAGCAGACCUAGCUACCUCCUUCAACAAGGCAGGUGCUUACGCAGUCCAACUCGGCGCGCGCCGCUCAGUCGCUGACGUCUAUUAAGCUUCGGCUGAUAUAUACGACACAGAACGCCCAUACUAUGCCCACGUGAUGGUUAGUGCUAUCAGGCCAGAGGCCCCUCGGAUCAAAUAUCCAAAUCGUAGUGGAUUAGGAGCACGCGGUAACAAGCAGAGACUCACGAAAGAUGUGACCCCAUUGCCCCGUCUCGAGGACUUGCGGCAAGGGCUAGGAAUGCCCGGCCACGCCUCGUAAUUAUCUCGCGGGCACCCUCCAGGUCAACCCGUCUCCACAUCACUCGCGGGUACCCCUCAGGGUCGACCCGCCCUUCCAAGUAACAAUUGUAAAGUCCAGGUAUCCGUGUGUUCAAACAUCAAGGGGAAAACCUGAGGAAUCACCCCCGGUGAAUUUCACUCGAUGUAAUCAUCAAGGUGAACGUAAGAGGAAUCACCCCCGAGGUUCACUCUUGAGGGGUUGCACGACAGAGUCGUAUCGGAAGUGGUUAAGGAGGAAAUCACCCUCGAUGACCACGACCGAAUAGCUACUCUACAGGGUUAACAUCAGAAGUGAUGAAGAGGUCUCACCCUCGGCACUCGAUAGUAACCCAGUAGUGUCGAGCAACUAAGGGGAAAGUGAUGUGCGGUGCCGGGGCCUGGUCUUCGAUCCCGUUGAUCGGGUCUUCGAUGAUGAAGCAGGGGCAACAAGGACAAGGUGGGGGUCACUGAUGGAUCACUAACCAACCUAUACUAAGCAGUUUAGGAUAAGCAGGUAAGGUACAACAUCAGAUACAAAAGCAGGCUAUGCAUCAGAAUAGGAGCAAACAAUAACAGUAGCAAAAUCUAAUGCAAGCAUGAGAGAAUGGAAUGGGCGAUAUCGUGAUGAUCAAAGGGGGGGCUUGCCUGGUUGCUCAUAGGAGAAGGAGGGGUCGUCGGUGACGUAGUCGAUCACAGGGGCAUCAGCAUCGUCAUGGGGUCUACCGAAGAGGAGAGGGGGAGAAACAGUAAAUACAUAGCAAGCAAGUGCAUAGCAGGACAACAUGCAGAUCUAGACGUGUUCUAACGCGGUGCUACACGAUACCGGUGAAGGGGGAAGUCAACCGAGAAUGUUUUCCCGGUUCCGGACCUGUGUCAGACAGAUGAACGAAGGGGGAAAGUUCCAUGUUCAGAUAGUUAGAGGCAUCUGACAGGUAAACAGACCAUGUGUUCGGAUUCAUUGGAUUUUUCUGAGCAACUUUCAUGUAUAAAACUUUUUCAUCCGAGUUACGGUUUAUUUUAUAUGAUUUAUCAAAGUGUUAAACAAUUUUCUAAAAUUAAUUCUAAUUCAAAAAUAAAAGGUGGAAAAAUGCUAUGUGCACAUGGCUGAGUGCACACAGCGGGCCAGCAGAGGCUGACAGUGGCCCCGUUGACCAAGUCAACUUUUGACCAGUUGACUGGUCAACUGGGCCUAGGGGGCCCACAUGUCAUACUAGUUAAUCACGUUAAUUAAGUUUAACUAGUUAAUUAAACAGAAUUAAUUAUUUUUUAUAUAUAAUUUUUUUGUUUCUUUUUUUACAGGAGCGUGGGGCCCCUUGGUCAGUGGCCCAUGGAACCAACCGGGCGGCGGGCGUAACGGGCGGCGGGCGUAACGGGCGCUGGGCGCCUGGGCAGACCCGCCUAGCGUCGGGGAAGCCCACGCAGGGAGGGCGCGGCCGUGCCGGCGGGGGCCGGCCACGGCGGCAGGCGGCGGUGCGAGGGGGCCAGUGGCCAGGGUUGGGGCGGAGUGGGGCCACCAGCAAUAUGCAGCUGCGGGGCGAGCAGGGAGGCGUAGCAAGGCGCGGGCGGCGAUAGUGGAGAGCUGGGUGACGGCAUCGCGCGGCGCAAGGUGCGCCCACGUGUGAGGAGGCUAGCCGGAGCGGGCGUCGCCGGCUACGUCGGUGGGGCAGCAGCGGUGGGUAGCGGGGCCAUGGCCGGAGCAUGGGCGUGGUCCGGGCGCGGCAAAGGAGCACCAGGCGGCGGCCGGCUGCGGGUGCAGCAACAGCAGCAUAGCAGCAGGCGCUGGAGCAGGAAUGCCGGCGCCCGGCCGUCAGCUGCGGUGAGCGGGGCGGCGGGCGCGCACAACGACGGCCAUACGGCGCGCGUGGCUGCGAGCUGCAGCGAGUGUGGUGCCAGUCGCAGCAGCGCGGCGAGGAGGCACUCAGGUGCUUGCGAGGGCGGGGGCUGUAGUGGGCUCAGGGGUGCGGGCGCGGAGCUCGGGUUCGACGGAGUCAAGGCCAUAGGGCACGGUAAGAUGUGCAGGUGCUUGCGCUGGGUCCCUACGGCGAUGCUGAGCACGACGGUGGCUCGCACUGGACCAAAAGGUCCCCGGGGCUACGCCGACAACGAGUUCGCGCGGCGAUGGUUCGGUCUCGAGUGGGACGAGGUCUAGGGGGCGAACGGGGCGGCGCAGAGAGAGGGGAAAGAACGGGUGGCUCACCGGGAGCCUGUAGAGGAGCAACGCGGGCUCGGGGGAGGCUCGAGGUGGCCGGAACGACGACGGAAGCGGCGGCGGCUCGAGGUUGAAGACGGCUCAGGGCAGCGUCGUAGCGGCCUUCGGCUCUAGUGUGUCGGCGUGGAUGACGUAGCGGAUGGAGACGGCCUUCAUGGACACGACGGCGGGGCAGCAGGUAGCCGGUGGCCGCGCAGAGCGAGGCGGACGACGUCGGGCGCGACGACGAGGCGGAUCUGGAGGAGGGGGCACAGGCGAGAGAGAGCACGAGGGGAGUGGACUCGGG